rnacentral:rRNA from 1 species
AUUGAACGCUAGCGGCAUGCUUUACACAUGCAAGUCGAACGAGUGGCGGACGGGUGAGUAAUGUAUCGGAACGUGCCCAGUAGCGGGGGAUAACUACUCGAAAGAGUGGCUAAUACCGCAUACCAUUCGAGCUGCCCAUAUCGGAUUAGCUAGUUGGUGGGGUAAAGGCUCACAAAGGCGACGAUCCGUAGCUGGUUUGAGAGGAGGAUCAGACACACUGGGACUGAGACACGGCCCAGAAUCCUACGGGAGGCAGCAGUGGGGAAUAUUGCACAAUGUGCGAAAGCCUGAUGCAGCCAUGCCGCGUGUAUGAAGAAGGCCCUAGGGUUGUAAAGUACUUUCAGGCGGGAGGCGUUACCGACAGAAGAAGCACCGGCUAACUCCGUGCCAGCAGCCGCGGUAAUAC